AACGAACGCUGGCGGCAGGCCUAACACAUGCAAGUCGAACGCCCUAGCAAUAGGGAGUGGCAGACGGGUGAGUAACACGUGGGAACCUUCCCUAUAGUACGGAAUAGCUCAGGGAAACUUGAAGUAAUACCGUAUACGCCCGAGAGGGGAAAGAUUUAUCGCUAUAGGAUGGGCCCGCGUCGGAUUAGCUAGUUGGUGAGGUAAAUGGCUCACCAAGGCGACGAUCCGUAGCUGGUUUGAGAGAACGACCAGCCACACUGGGACUGAGACACGGCCCAGACUCCUACGGGAGGCAGCAGUGGGGAAUAUUGGACAAUGGGCGCAAGCCU
rnacentral:rRNA from 1 species